rnacentral:rRNA from 1 species
CCUACGGGUGGCAGCAGUGAGGAAUCUUCCACAAUGGACGAAAGUCUGAUGGAGCGACACCGCGUGAAGGAUGAAGGCCUAACGGUUGUAAACUUCUUUUCUGAAGGAGCAUAAUGAGAGUACUUCAGGAAUAAGGGACGGCUAAAUACGUGCCAGCAGCCGCGGUAAUACGUAUGUCUCAAGCGUUACCCGGAAUCACUGGGUGUAAAGGGUUCGUAGGCGGUUUAAUAAGUUGGAUAUGAAAGACCGGGGCUCAACCCCGUGUUGGUGUUCAAAACUGUUAAACUAGAAUCAGGGAGAGGUAAGUGGAAUUCUGUGUGUAGGGGUGCAAUCCGUAGAUACACAGAGGAACACCAAAAGCGAAGGCAACUUACUGGAACUGUAUUGACGCUCAUGAACGAAAGCGUGGGUAGCGAAAAGGAUUAGAUACCCUAGUAGUC